GUCUCUGUGGCGCAACGGUUAGCGCGUUCGGCUGUUAACUGAAAGGUUGGUGGUUCAAGCCCACCCAGGGACG
rnacentral:tRNA from 1 species